AAGGGCAGCAUAAAAAAAUGAAGUGACUCAUCUCCCUUCACAGGCACAGCCUGCUCAAACAUACAUAUAUAAUUAUUUAUUUGUAUGGGUUUGAUUCUUUAGCCAAAUGUGUCUGCUUUGUAAUGUGGUUUAACCACUUGGGGAUUUUUGUUCAAAGAGUUAAUUUAUAGUUUUAUCACUGAACCACAAAAAACUGUUCUGGGCUCCCAUGUAACUAAGUCGUAUGCAAGUGCUGUGUAUCAUUAAAUCUUCCUCUGUAUGAGUAUGUGAGUUCAAAGGCAGCUCUCCUGCAAAGAUAAGGUGCAAUAUGCAGUGAUCAAGGGCUGAUUUCUAGUGAAGUCAUAUUCCUUACCAAGCAAGUGUAUCAGGCAGGAGUAAGUAAUCUCAAGACCUCAACAUCAGAACAUUUUCAUAUAGCAUUGUAAUUUUGACUUUGGAGUUCUGAUGUGAAGAACCGCUGUGUUCAGUUUACCAUACCAAGAUACUAAAAGCAGAAGUUACAAAUCUCAGACUUCAAAAGAAGGAACAGAAAAUGCUCUCUCAAGAUGAAAAGCAAAGUGACAGCUUAGCCAUGAGUAUUCCAUUCCCACUUUUGGAAAGAUGACAUUCUGAGUAGAGGUACAGUGCACUCCAACAGGAUUGACUUCACAUACUUUGUGACAGUGGGAAAGCGCUCAAGGAAUGGAAGAAUAAUAAUAUUUUUAGAAAGGAGAAAACAUUUGAUGAAAUCUGAAUGCCAUAGAAUCGGAAACCCAGCUUGACUGCAAACAAAAUUAAGUGGAUGAAGCCAGGAGGUGAAAAGCUGUGUUUCCCCAUCAUAACUCUCAUUCAAAAAUCCUGACAGAAAGAAUCAUUGGAAGCAACAGUUUUUUAGAGCUGAAGCUGGCUUCUGAGAGCUGCUCUGGUAUUUUGUAAAUGUAAGAAGCGUAUGUUUUCAUUCGGGAUUUUUAAAAUAUAAAAGCUUCUGAUAGACUCAUACAACAUUGCAUGAGUGAUAUAUUGACACUAAAACUGCUGAAAAAUAAAACUAAACUCAAAAUAUUGGACCA
rnacentral:lncRNA from 1 species